UACAGAGGGUGCGAGCGUUAAUCGGAAUUACUGGGCGUAAAGCGUGCGUAGACGGUUAUGUAAGUCUGUCGUGAAAGCCCCGGGCUCAACCUGGGAAUGGCGAUGGAUACUGGCUCGCUAGAGUGCGGUAGAGGAGAGUGGAAUUCCCGGUGUAGCAGUGAAAUGCGUAGAGAUCGGGAGGAACAUCAGUUGCGAAGGCGGCUCUCUGGACCAGCACUGACACUGAGGCACGAAAGCGUGGGGAGCAAACAGG
rnacentral:rRNA from 1 species